rnacentral:lncRNA from 1 species
CUCACGCAACCCGCUGCAAGUACCCAUGCACGACCACACUGUACAAGCUACAGUGCCGGCGGCUCCCUUCCAUUCGCCGCAGGGUACUCAUGACCUGCGCCGUCCGGAGCAGAGGGAAGACUCGCCCGUUCUCGGGCCCCGCGCGCCCGGCAGCGGGGAUGUGACGCCCUCUCUCCACGAGCCAUCAUCAGGACGGCGGCAUCCGCCGUCCCUCCCAACGGACAACGAAGUGACG